rfam:Arthrobacter cupressi strain SW1 SW1_scaffold_18, whole genome shotgun sequence.
GCAAGGCCCGGCACCAGGGCCUCCGGACGACGGUUCAGUACCCGGCACGCGACAAGACUGGCCAAA